AAAGCCCCGCAAGGGGUAAGUAGAGUGGCAAACGGGUGAGUAACACGUGGGUGACCUGCCUUCGAGUGGGGGAUAACGUCCCGAAAGGGACGCUAAUACCGCAUGACAUCCUGCUUUUGGAAAAGCGGAGAUCAAAGCUGGGGAUCGUAAGACCUGGCGCUUGAAGAGGGGCCCGCGCCUGAUUAGCUAGUUGGUGGGGUAACGGCCUACCAAGGCGACGAUCAGUAUCCGGCCUGAGAGGGCGGACGGACACACUGGGACUGAGACACGGCCCAGACUCCUACGGGAGGCAGCAGUGGGGAAUUGUUCGCAAUGGGCGCAAGCCUGACGACGCAACGCCGCGUGGAGGACGAAGAUCUUCGGGUCGUAAACUCCUGUCGAGUGGGAAGAACGCUUCGGGGGCGAAUAUCCUCCGGAAUUGACGGUACCACUAAAGGAAGCCCCGGCUAACUCCGUGCCAGCAGCCGCGGUAAUACGGGGGGGGCAAGCGUUGUUCGGAAUUACUGGGCGUAAAGGGCUCGUAGGCGGCCAACUAAGUCGGAUGUGAAAUCCCCAGGCUUAACCUGGGAACUGCAUCCGAUACUGGAUGGCUUGAAUUCGGGAGAGGGAUGCAGAAUUCCAGGUGUAGCGGUGAAAUGCGUAGAUAUCUGGAGGAAUACCGGUGGCGAAGGCGGCAUCCUGGACCGAGAUUGACGCUGAUGAGCGAAAGCUAGGGGAGCAAACGGGAUUAGAUACCCCGGUAGUCCUAGCCCUAAACGAUGAAUGCUUGGUGUGGCGGGUAUCGAUCCCUGCCGUGCCGAAGCUAACGCAUUAAGCAUU
rnacentral:rRNA from 1 species